GAUGAACGCUGGCGGCGUGCUUAACACAUGCAAGUCGAACGGAAAGGCCCAAGCUUGCUUGGGUACUCGAGUGGCGAACGGGUGAGUAACACGUGGGUGAUCUGCCCUGCACUUCGGGAUAAGCCUGGGAAACUGGGUCUAAUACCGGAUAGGACCACAUCUUGGAUGGUGUGGUGGAAAGUUUUUCGGUGUGGGAUGAGCUCGCGGCCUAUCAGCUUGUUGGUGGGGUAAUGGCCUACCAAGGCGUCGACGGGUAGCCGGCCUGAGAGGGUGUACGGCCACAUUGGGACUGAGAUACGGCCCAGACUCCUACGGGAGGCAGCAGUGGGGAAUAUUGCACAAUGGGCGCAAGCCUGAUGCAGCGACGCCGCGUGGGGGAUGACGGCCUUCGGGUUGUAAACUGCUUUCGCUAGGGACGAAGCGUUAUGUGACGGUACCUGGAGAAGAAGCACCGGCUAACUACGUG
rnacentral:rRNA from 1 species